rnacentral:rRNA from 1 species
UACGUAGGGGGCUAGCGUUGUCCGGAAUCAUUGGGCGUAAAGAGCGCGUAGGCGGCCCGGUAAGUCCGCUGUAAAAGUCACAGGCUCAACCUGUGAAUGUCAGUGGAUACUGCCGGGCUAGAGUCCGGAAGAGGCGAGUGGAAUUCCUGGUGUAGCGGUGGAAUGCGCAGAUAUCAGGAGGAACACCAACGGCGAAGGCAGCUCGCUGGGACGGUACUGACGCUGAGGCGCGAAAGCUAGGGGAGCGAACAGG